GUGUCUGUAGCCUAGUUGGUAAAGGCAGCACUCUAGUAAUGCUGAAGUCAUGGGUUUGGCUCCCAUCAGACACA
rnacentral:tRNA from 1 species